GGUGCUGAAGCUGAACAAGAUGGCUGUUAGCUGGGGAUUGGAGAGCUGAGAGAGAGCGGGGAGGGGUGGAAAGAGGCGGCGAAACACGCCACAAAAAGAGAAAAGGGACAGGGCGUUCUCCGUCUGAGCGAAGGGAAGUGUCUACCGUCUGUUUUUAUUUUUUUAUUUUCAUUUAUGUGUUUUUUUUUUACUAGCUGUCACGAAGCCAGCCGGGCAACGUUGCCGCUACUGAACAGCGACGCCUGGUUUCACCCACCUCCAGCCCAGCUGCUCUCCAUCCCUGGGCUGGGCUUUGCAAAGAUCAUCUCUACCAAUUAGGGAACUAGUGAAGUAGCUGGACCCUGGAAUAAAGCAGCUCAUAAGAAAUGUCAUUGUUGUGCGUUGGAGUAAAGAAAGGAAAGCUCGAUGGACCCCAAGAGAAAUUUAACACUUACGUGACCCUCAAGGUGCAAAAUGUUAAAAGCACAACCAUCGCUGUGCGAGGCAGUCAACCCUGCUGGGAACAGGACUUCAUGUUUGAGAUAAACCGCCUGGAUCUAGGCCUCACAGUGGAGGUGUGGAACAAAGGACUGAUCUGGGACACCAUGGUGGGAACUGUAUGGAUCCCCCUGCACAGCAUACGACAGUCCAACGAGGAGGGUCCAGGCCAGUGGCUUACCCUGGACUCAAAUGUGAUCAUGGCUGAGAACGAGAUCUGUGGAACCAAAGACCCGACCUUUCACAGGCUGCUGCUAGACACUCGCUUUGAACUGCCAUUAGACAUUCCAGAGGAAGAGGCCAGAUACUGGGCCAAGAAACUUGAACAACUCAAUGCAAUGAGAGAUCAAGAUUAUGCCUACCAAGAAGAACAAGAGCAAUCACUCCAUGCCCCCUCCACUCAGUGCUGUAAUUGGAGUCUGUGGGGAGACCAGCAGAGUAAGUUCAUGUCAUGCACUUCUGCUAAUGACUUGUAUGAGGACCCAGACAGUGCUGUCGAUGACAGGGACAGCGACUACCGUAGCGAGACCAGUAACAGCAUCCCGCCUCCCUUCUACACCACCUCCCAGCCCAACGCUUCCAUGCACCAGUACCCCAUGCGGAAUCAACACUGCAGACACUCCUACAGCGAUGACAUCCAUGAUCUGGACUACGAUCUCAGAACCAUGAGACGCUAUGAUAGUUUAGAUUCUGCCACCAACGGGCACAGCGAUAUCGACUCAGGCUCGGGGUCGAGCCGGCGCACCAGUCGUCAGUAUUCUCUAGACAGUAGGCACUCUCUGUCCGAUAGUCCCACAGACAGCCGUUAUGCGUCUUCAGGCGAGCUGAGCCGAGGAAGCUCUCAGCUUAGUGAGGAGUUUCCUCCAGAGGAUGGCGAAAGCUUUCAAGGUUCAGAAUUCUACGACGAAAACGACUCCUACCACUCCUGCCAUUCCUCUGUCAGCUACGGCAAAGAAGACUCCCCAGGUUGGGAUGGGGAGGACCACCAAGGCGUCUACAGUGAUGAUGGAGGCUAUCUCAAAGAUGGAGGGGAAGAGGGUGCGCUGUAUGAUGAAGAGGAAGGUGACAUUUACAAGGAGGGGCAGUAUAACUAUGAAGAUGACGCAGAGAGGCAAUAUGGUGAUGAUAUGUGUCUACCAGGAGACAAACAAAGCAAAGAAAAGGAGCUAAGCUACACCCCAAUGCCCUCAGGCCCUACCCCCACCCUGAUGCCACCAUCUGAUGGCCUGUCUUCCACCAGGCCUCCUUUGGAAAAACAAUCCUCCUUGCAUCAGCAGAGACCUGCCCAAGAUCAGACCCAGUCGUCUAGUGCAGUUCUUGAACUACCUCCAGUCUCCCAGGACAGCAUGUUGCCCUUUGAUGAUACAAAUUCCACCAAACCUUCCUUUUCUCCCUCACAGCAACAAAUGUCUGUCACGACAACAUCCUCCCAAACAAUUCCAUCCCAGGUUCCACCUCAGGACACCAAGCCCCAGGAGCCAGAGCCCAAAUCUGAAACCCCUGUGGAGGAACCUCAUCCUCCUGAACAGUCCUCAGCAGCAGAAACUCUGCAGCCUGCUCCUGAGGAGAAAACAGAAGAGGCUCCUGUUCCAAGCUUCCCAAAGAGAGAAAUCAUGGAGCCGGGUCCUGCUAGAGCAAAAGCCAACUGGCUCCGCCUUUUCAGCAGAGUACGACUACAGCUGCAAGAGGCCCGAGGAGAACAUGUUGGGAUUGCCUCCCUGCUUUUAUCUGCAGGCAUGGGUGGUGCCCUGUACAGCAUAGACAGCAUGCCAGACCUUAGAAAGAGGAAAGCAAUGCCUCUGGUCAGAGAUCUGGCAAUGUCUCUGGUCCAGAACUCCAGAAAAGCUGGGAUUACUUCAGCCCUGACGUCCAGCACCCUGCAUAACGAGGAGCUGAAGAGUCAUGUCUAUAAGAAGACCCUACAGGCCCUCAUCUAUCCGAUCUCUUGCACCACCCCACACAAUUUUGAAGUGUGGACAGCCACCACUCCCACUUACUGCUACGAGUGUGAAGGACUGCUGUGGGGUAUCGCUCGCCAAGGCAUGCGCUGCACUGAGUGUGGAGUCAAAUGCCAUGAAAAGUGCCAGGACCUGCUCAAUGCUGACUGUCUACAAAGAGCCGCAGAGAAGAGCUCCAAACACGGCGCAGAGGACAGAACCCAGAACAUCAUAAUGGUUCUUAAAGAUCGAAUGAAGAUCCGCGAGAGGAACAAACCAGAGAUCUUUGAACUCAUACAAGAAGUGUUUGCUGUCCCCAAGUCAACCCAUGUCACCCACAUGAAGCAGAUCAAGCAGAGCGUUCUGGACGGCACCUCCAAAUGGUCCGCCAAGAUCUGCAUCACAGUGUUGUGUGCUCAGGGUCUCCAAGCCAAGGAUAAAACUGGUUCUAGUGAUCCAUAUGUAACCGUCCAGGUGGGAAAGACCAAAAAAAGGACCAAAACUAUUUACGGCAACCUCAAUCCUGUCUGGGAGGAAACAUUUAAUUUCGAAUGCCACAACUCCUCAGAUCGCAUUAAGGUGCGGGUGUGGGAUGAAGACGAUGACAUUAAGUCUCGUGUGAAGCAGAAGUUUAAGAGAGAGUCUGACGACUUCCUUGGUCAGACAAUCAUCGAGGUUCGGACUCUUAGCGGAGAGAUGGACGUCUGGUAUAAUCUUGACAAACGUACGGACAAAUCAGCCGUUUCUGGGGCUAUCAGAAUGCGCAUUAAUGUGGAGAUUAAAGGAGAGGAGACAGUCGCUCCCUAUCACGUACAGUACACCUGUCUGCAUGAGAACCUAUUUCAUUACGUAACAGACAUCCAGAACACUGGUGUGGUGAAGAUUCCCGAUGCCAAAGGGGACGAUGCUUGGAAAGUUUAUUUUGAGGAGACUCCCCAAGAAAUAGUGGAUGAGUUUGCCAUGCGUUAUGGAGUGGAGUCCAUCUACCAAGCCAUGACCCACUUUGCGUGUUUGUCGUCUAAAUACAUGUGCCCUGGAGUACCUGCAGUCAUGAGCACCCUGCUGGCCAACAUUAACGCCUAUUACGCCCACACCACCCAGGCAACCAACAACGUUUCUGCAUCUGACCGCUUUGCAGCUUCAAACUUUGGAAAAGAACGAUUCGUCAAGCUUCUAGAUCAGCUGCACAACUCUUUGAGGAUAGACCUCUCCAUGUAUCGGAACAACUUUCCAGCCAGCAGCCCUGAGAGGUUACAGGACCUCAAGUCCACAGUUGACCUUCUCACCAGUAUUACCUUCUUCAGAAUGAAGGUUCAGGAGCUCCAGUCUCCACCCAGAGCUAGUCAGGUUGUGAAAGAUUGUGUAAAAGCCUGCCUCAACUCCACCUACGAGUACAUCUUUAAUAACUGCCAUGAACUCUACAGCCGCGAGUACCAAACAGAUCCGGCUAAGCAGGGGGCUGUGCCUCCAGAGGAGCAGGGUCCCAGUAUCAAGAACCUGGACUUCUGGUCCAAACUCAUCACACUUAUUGUUUCCAUUAUUGAGGAGGACAAAAACUCCUACACUCCCUGCUUAAACCAAUUUCCCCAGGAGCUCAAUGUGGGUAAAAUAAGUGCUGAAGUGAUGUGGAAUUUGUUUGCUCAGGAUAUGAAAUACGCGAUGGAAGAACAUGAGAAAAACCGCCUGUGUAAGAGCGCUGAUUACAUGAACCUGCACUUUAAGGUAAAGUGGCUCUACAACGAGUACUGCAAAGACCUUCCUUUCUUCAAGAGUCGAGUGCCUGAAUACCCUGCAUGGUUUGAGCCUUUCGUCAUCCAGUGGCUGGAUGAAAAUGAGGAAGUCUCUCGUGACUUUUUGCAUGGCGCUUUGGAAAGAGACAAAAAAGAUGGAUUCCAAGUCACAUCAGAACAUGCUCUCUUCUCCUGUUCGGUGGUGGACGUGUUCUCCCAGCUCAAUCAGAGCUUCGAGAUCAUCAGGAAGCUAGAGUGUCCAGAUCCACAGAUUGUAGGACACUACAUGAAGCGAUUUGCAAAGACCAUCAGCAAUGUUCUUCUGUCCUAUGCUGAUAUCAUCUCCAAGUUGUUUGCCAACUAUGUUACCAUGGAGAAAGUUCCCUGCAUCCUGAUUAACAACAUCCAACAGUUAAGGGUUCAGCUGGAGAAGAUGUUUGAAGCCAUGGGUGGAAAAGAUCUCUGUGUGGAAGCCAGCGAUAUUCUGAAAGAUCUUCAGGUGAAGCUGAACAAUGUAAUGGAUGACCUGAGCAGGGUCUUUGCUGUCAGUUUCCAGCCUCAUAUUGAAGAAAAUGUGAAGCAGAUGGGAGACAUCUUGGCUCAGGUGAAAGGAACGUCGAACGUAGGGAACGCCAGCAGUGUGGCCCAAGAUGCAGACAAUGUUUUGCAGCCAAUCAUGGAGUUCCUGGACAGCAACCUUUCGUUGUUUGCUAAGAUUUGUGAGAAAACUGUUCUAAAACGUGUGCUGAAGGAGCUGUGGAAGCUGGUAAUGAACACCAUGGAGAAAACCAUCGUUCUGCCUCCACUCACAGACCAAACGAUGAUUGGGAGGCUGAAGAGUGCUUCUCACAGUGAUGGCACUCAGCUCAUCUUCAAUGCAGCCAAGGAGCUCGGACAGCUGUCCAAACUGAAGGAGCACAUGGUUCGAGAGGAGGCCAAAGCAUUAUCACCCAAACAGUGUGCUGUGAUUGAGUUGGCUCUGGACACCAUCAAGCAAUACUUCCAUGCUGGAGGUGUGGGUCUGAAGAAGACUUUUCUGGAGAAAAGUCCUGACCUCCAAUCUCUCCACUACGCUUUGUCCCUCUACACUCAGGCCACUGACAAACUCAUUAAGACUUUUGUCCAGUCCCAGCACGCCCAAGUGUUCGGCGGGAAGGGGGUGAGAUUCACCACUAGUGAGGAUGUUUACCCAGAAAAGGGCACCGGAGUGGAUGAUGCUGUGGGUGAGGUGUCCAUCCAUGUGGAGGUUUUCACUCAUCCAAACACUGGGGAACAUAAAGUCACAGUGAAAGUUGUGGCUGCCAACGACCUGAGGUGGCAGACGCAGGGAAUAUUCCGCCCAUUUGUAGAGGUCUACAUCAUCGGCCCCCACCUGAGCGACAAGAAGCGGAAGUACGCGACCAAGUCGAAGAACAACAGCUGGGCUCCUAAAUACAAUGAAACCUUCACUUUCACAUUGAGCAACGAGGUGGGUCCGGAGUGCUAUGAGCUGCAGGUGUGUGUGAAAGACUACUGCUUCGCCCGUGAGGACCGAACCGUGGGCAUGUCGGUCCUUCAGCUGAAGGACAUGGUCUCUAAGGGCAGCGCCGCCUGCUGGCUCCCGCUGGGUAAACGCAUCCACAUGGAUGAGACGGGCCUCACUGUCCUGCGCAUCCUCUCCCAACGCAACAACGAUGAUGUGGCCAAGGAGUUUGUCAAGCUCAAGUCGGACCAGCGCUCCGCAGAGGAGGGCCGUGGCUAAACAAGUCUGUUUGGGGUUUAAAAUGCUGCGUCUGGAGCCCCAGGACUCUCCUGGUACACUGCAAGUCACUGCCGAGUAAUCCAGUGUUGUAAAAGCACAUACAAGACAGGAGUCAACACACACUCCGUACUGUAAAUACAUCUAUUUCAGUGGAGAAGACACAAAGCAAAGAGAAGCACCACAGAGUCCACCAGUGUCUUUACUGUUGCUGAUGUGUUUAUCCCAAAUUUUUAUUAACAGCAGAGUUUCCUUAUUUACGGUGGAGGAACACAAACUUCUCUCUUGGUCAGGUUGAGAAUUAUCUUGUAGCCUCUAAAUAUUUUUAUCCUUCUCACUUUUUCCUUUUUUAGUUUGUGCCCUCUCAUCCCUUCGCUGGUAUGUUCUCAGUCAGAGAAGGACCCGCAAGUGCCAACAGAUAACUGCUGAAAUAUGCCAAGAGCUUUCCCAAACACAAAAGGGCCAGCUGUCCAUUCGAAACACAUCAGAACCAAGCUCAAAAAUUACAGAUAUUACAAGAAAAAUCAGCACUUUUCGUUAAUAGUUCAACUUUAUUACUAAUUAAUCUAGAGCUAUAUUUAUAUUUCAGUAAUUCUAGAUAACCUUAUAUACAUAUAUAUAUAUAUCUAUAAAUUACUUAAAAAGGAAAUAGAUGAACUUACAGGGUUAUUUGAUGGACAUGUGGUCAUUGAAAGAUUGUUCUUGUCUGUCUUUCUGUCUGUGGACCCUAAAGCAGCACACUGCCUGACACUCUGAAUACCUUCUGUUCCGUUGACUCUCUGUCUGUGUCUUGUUUAAGGACGGCAUGGAGAGAGAAAUCUGAUGAAAGCACACAUCUGAGCACUGGGAUUUAUCACAUGGUAUAUAAAUAUGUGUGUGUCUUGAGUGAGUGAGUGAGCAUCAUUUGUGGUUGUUGACAGUUACCUGCCAGUGUAAUCAUAGAGAAGCCAUUUCUAUGUUAAUUAUAUUUGGAGGUUCUGUUGAUUUUUUAUAGGUUUGUUUACAUUUUUAAGGCCAAAAUCUUUUUUUUUAUUAAUAUUAUUUUGGUUUUUUCUAACUUUUGUGUUUUACUGCAAACAUUCCUUGUAGCCUUCUCUGGGCCUAUCAGCAGUGCAUUACUGAGGAGGGAUUAAAUCCCAUUUCAUUUUCUUAAAGAAAAAAAGCAACUAGCUGCCCAGUAAUAUGGGGAUUAUUAUAUAAAAACACCUGCAUUGAGAUAUUUUGCUAAGUAGCCUCAUGAGAGAUAUAUCUCCCAUCCUGCCCCCCUGAGUUAGCAUAGAUCUGCACUGAUCCAACACAUUUAAUAUUCUUUUUCACAUUUUGUCACAUCCCAACUGCAGACUCUGAUGUGUUUAAGAGGAGUUCUGACAAAAAUAGUUGUUUUUGUGAAGUGAAAGAAAAUAAUAUGUAGAGUGCUGUGCAUUUGUGCAUUUGAGCUUCUUCUCCUGAAUCGACAAUUUGUAGAUCCAGUUUCCCUGAAAUUACAGCUAUGUCUGUAACCGCAGUUUUUUGUUGUUUUUUACAUCAAGGAGCCAAUUCAUCCAGCUCAACCUCAUUCAGAGUGAAUAAAGAUCACGUCUGAGUCAGUACCAUCACUGAUAAAGCAGUAAUUGAAACAUUUUAAAUCGGUGGGGUAAAAUGAAGUCAGUGAAAAAGGGGUAUAUGUGUUUGGAGUUUCCUGCUCAGGAAUGAACUCCAACAAUUUCUUAAAUCUUUUGAAACCUGCAACUGUUUUUCUCUCAGGUUUAAUCUGUAUUUAGCUCCAUCCAUUUUCCAAUUAUGAUCAGCUUUCUCCCUUUUGCCUAAUAUGUCCAAAGCAUCUUCUUCUACAUUUGCUGUGGCCCCCAAAGCUGGACCUCACAGUAUUUCCAGAAUCUUCCUUUUUCUACUCAUUGAUUCUCUCCGAGCUGUUGAGUGCAGCUCCCCCAGAGCUACCAUGGGCAUCUUGAUUCUGCAUACUAAUGAUAUUCUUCUGUUGCCUGUGGGUUUAGAUGGACCAACAUAUCUUAGCAUGUUUGCAGUUGCAUCAUACAUAUUCUGUUUUAUGAUUGGUAAAUUUAAUUUAAGCUUUUUUAGGUGGGUUUUUUUUUCACAGAACAGCUGGAUUUAGAGUGAGAUAAAUGAAACGCUUGGAUUCGACUGAUGAGGUGACUUCUGAGGGCAACUGGUUGCACUUGAGUUUAUUUUGGAGAAUCGGGGUAAAGAGAAAACAAAUGCACAGUUUCCAGAUUUAUAUUUGCAAUCAAUUUUUUAAAUCCUGUAUCUUUUUUUAAUCCACUUCACAAUCAAGCACUAUUUACUGUUGGUCUAUUACAUAAAAAAUACACAGACGUUUGCAGUUAUAAGUUGACAACAUGGGGAAAAGUUCAGAGGGUUUUAUUACUUUUUCAAAGCUUUACCCUAGAAUCCAGACUGAGAAGAAAUACCUCCGCUAAAGGGCUGAACCAGAACUGGUCUGGAUAUGAUAUUGAAAAGAGGACAAUGUCCACACUCUACAGAGACUUUUAAAGUCGUUUCUCACCCACAGUCUUGGUUGCACCAAUAAAAACCUAUUAUUCAUCUGAUCUGUUAAGUUUUUCAUUCUGUAGAAUAACAGAAAAAUACCUUAACAGCUAAACAUCUGUCCACCUUUAAAGAUUUUAUUCUUAUGACUUAUUGCCAUUGAACUCAAAACCAUUGAAACAAAUUAUACAUAUAUAUUUAUAAAAGUUUUGUUUGUGUACUAACCUAUAGGUAAUGUUGAUAAUAGAGAUUUUGUAGGACUUAAAACUACAUUUGUAGAUGUAUUUAUGGGUCCUAAAGAAUUAAAAAAGGACCUAUAAUGAAACAAAGUGGACCAAUUAAACUCUAUGCAUCUGAUCUCUAAACUCCAAGUAGAUGAGUCCGUUUUGAAGCAGUCUUAUGUUUACAUGGUGGAUUAUUAGUGUAAUUAUUGCAGCACAAGUGUCCGAUAUGUUGUAGAAGUUGUCUCUUUUUUUUUUUUCCCUCUCUCUCCUGGGGCCAAAAAUCAAAGCCGUUGAGACUGAAAUUAUGUUAAAGUAGACUGGGAUAUGAAACAGAAACGGAUUGUUGUAAAUAGCUGCCAUGUAAAACAAAACAAAAAAUGUCUGAAUACGUGAAGUUUGCUGCUCUGUUGUAGACUUGAAUUUCGUGCAGAUUGACCUGAUCAGGUUUUGAUUAGAAACAUAGGAAGACCGUGUACAUGAUGGAGAUGAAAUACAAGCCAUAUGCAUCGGCUUUACAGGCGUGAUUAGGGGCUAAAUGAAUAUUAUGUACGUUUCCAACCUUCACUCUGGCAGAAUACACAUUACACCGUUUGCUCUAUAAAUGUCUAAAGAUUUAUAAGGGUGUAACUCUCUGGCAUGUACAAGGUCUUUUUAUUCAACGAGAACCUCUGCACACUAGUUUAAAAGACAAAAUAAGAGGUAGACAACCAUCAGAUAGCUGGAAAUGCCACGAAAAUCUUUAUUUACUGCUGUUGACAAUGAUUCUCUUCAGUCGAGGAAGUUCUUCCUCCUUCUGAGGCUAAGUUUGUGCUGGGCUACCAGGUUUGAGGCUAAAGAUGUUAGUAGAUGAAGCACAAUGAAAAGCACACGCACACACUGGCAGACAGACAUGCAUGAUCAUCCCCUCUCUGUCCAGGUGAGCCACAAGGUGGCGCCGGUUGUGUACUUCCAGAAUCGGUGCAUGAUAAGAAGAAAACAAAAAAAGAAAACGUGUUGUGCCAGCACGCAUAAUUAUUUGAUGUUUAACGCCAACUGUUGUCUUCUAUAUUUUGAUAUUUGAAUAUUGUUUUCUAUUUUUCAAAUGUUUGUGAAUAUAUAAAUAUGUAUUACUGAUGAUGUGUAGUGGGUACAAAGUACUGGCAUGAGACUUUUUUUACACAAAAGAUGUUUCUAAUUUUGUUUUUGUUUUUAUUCUGGUGGUUAUUACUGGGGGCCGAGGCACCUGAGACGACAGUCUGUGUUUCUGCUACCAAUAAAAUAUGUAAAACAAGA